rnacentral:rRNA from 1 species
UGAGGAAUAUUGAGCAAUGGGCGAAAGCUUGACUCAGCAACGCCGCGUGGGCGAUGAAGGCCUUCGGGUUGUAAAGCCCUUUUCCGGGGACGAGAGAGGACUGUACCCUGGGAAUAAGGUUCGGCUAACUACGUG